rnacentral:rRNA from 1 species
UACGGGGGGGGCAAGCGUUGUUCGGAAUUACUGGGCGUAAAGGGCUCGUAGGCGGCCAACUAAGUCGGACGUGAAAUCCCUCGGCUUAACCGGGGAACUGCGUCCGAUACUGGAUGGCUUGAGUUUGGGAGAGGGAUGCGGAAUUCCAGGUGUAGCGGUGAAAUGCGUAGAUAUCUGGAAGGAACACCGGUGGCGAAGGCGGCGAUCCUGGACCAACACGUGACGCUGACUGAGCGAAAGCCAGGGGAGCAAAGCGGGAUUAAGAA